rnacentral:rRNA from 1 species
UACGGAAUGUGCAAACGUUAUUCGGAAUCACUGGGCUUAAAGAGUCCGUAGACGGCAUGUUAGGUGAGGUGUGAAAUCCCCCGGCUCAACCGAGGAAUUGCGCUUCAAACCGGCGUGCUUGAGGAAGAUAGAGGUGGGCGGAACUGAUGGUGGAGCGGUGAAAUGCGUUGAUAUCAUCAGGAACACCGGAGGCGAAGGCGGCCCACUGGGUCUUUUCUGACGCUGAGGGACGAAAGCUAGGGGAGCGAACGGG